rnacentral:rRNA from 1 species
CAGCCGCCGCGGGAAUACGAAGGGGGCUAGCGUUGUUCGGAAUUACUGGGCGUAAAGGGUGCGUAGGCGGCUUGACAAGUCUUGUGUGAAAUCUAUGGGCUCAACCCAUAGUCUGCACGGGAAACUGUCGGGCUUGGGAGUGGGAGAGGUGAGUGGAAUUUCCGGUGUAGCGGUGAAAUGCGCAGAUAUCAGGAGGAACACCGGUGGCGAAGGCGGUUCUCUGGGAAUGUUCUGACGCUGAGGAGCGAAAGUGUGGGGAGCGAACAGGAUUAGAUACCCGCGUAGUCCCUGUCUCUUAUAC